UACAGAGGGUGCAAGCGUUAAUCGGAUUUACUGGGCGUAAAGGGCGCGUAGGCGGCCCGCUAAGUCGAACGUGAAAUCCCCGAGCUCAACUCGGGAACUGCGUCCGAUACUGGUGGGCUUGAAUCCGGGAGAGGGAUGCGGAAUUCCAGGUGUAGCGGUGAAAUGCGUAGAUAUCUGGAGGAACACCGGUGGCGAAGGCGGCAUCCUGGACCGGCAUUGACGCUGAGGCGCGAAAGCUAGGGGAGCAAACGGG
rnacentral:rRNA from 1 species